GAUGAACGCUAGCGGCAGGCUUAAUACAUGCAAGUCGUGGGGCAGCGCAGUGUAGCAAUACAUGGGCGGCGACCGGCAAAUGGGUGCGUAACACGUACGCAACCUUCCCGUUACUGGGGAAUAGCCCAGGGAAACUUGGAUUAAUACCCCAUAUUAUAUUGAUUGGGCAUCUAAUUAAUAUCAAAGCUUCGGCGGUAACGGAUGGGCGUGCGGUUGAUUAGGGAGUUGGCGGGGUAACGGCCCACCAAGCCUACGAUCAAUAGCUGAUGUGAGAGCAGGAUCAGCCACAAGGGGACUGAGACACGGGCCCGACUCCUACGGGAGGCAGCAGUAAGGAAUAUUGGGCAAUGGACGAAAGUCUGACCCAGCCAUGCCGCGUGGAGGAUGAAGGUCCUCUGGAUUGUAAACUUCUUUUAUUUGGGAAGAAACCCGGAUUUUCUAAUUCGGUUGACGGUACCAGAUGAAUAAGCACCGGCUAACUCCGUGCCAGCCGCCGCCGUAAUAC
rnacentral:rRNA from 1 species